AGCAAUGCUGCAUUUAGCAGCAACAGAUCCUUGUACCAGGCCACCAUGGGAAAUCAUCCACAUAUCAUCACCAGCAACCCAACCCUGCACCACUGCAUAACUAGUUCGCUACUGUACAUCAGCAGCCCAACCAUGAGGGGAGAGAGCCUCACCCAAACUGUUGGUAUCCAUAGCAGCUAUUGAGGGAGGUCAGCCGAAUCAGACCUGUAGAAGAACCAAGGAGACAAGAGGUCAGCUAUUGGGGAGAGAACCCCACCCAAACAGGACCCCACAACAGGCAUGGAAAUCCAUCACAGCAGGUCUCCAUACAAAUCCAAAUUCACACCCAAGGAGCACACAAACAGAGUAGCCAUAGCAACCAGCAACUCAUGGUGGGAGCAGAACCAAUCAGAUGGUCAUCAACCA
rnacentral:lncRNA from 1 species